UAAUAGUUGUGUAUACUAGUUUGUGUGGAUGGUGAAUGUAUUUAUUAGUAUGUAUGUAUUUAUUAGUGUGACUAAUGUGAGAGAGUCAAUGGCGAAAUGUUGAGUACAAUAAUCUACCUAAUCGACUCUCAAUUAGGUUAAUCGUAUAAUAUGUGUAAAGGGCGGUGGAGGAAUAUCGACUAUUCCAUCACCGUAUUUAAGAAUGAACGUAUGAUUGGUUUGGAACUGCAUCGUUGGGUGUUGAAUUGCAGCUGUUGACAGCAUCCCCCCCCCCCGAACCCAAUCUCGUGGUUGGACGGAUACGUUUAUAAUAAGAAUAUUAUUGUUAAGAUUUUGUUGUCUAGGUAAAAAUAAAAAACUGCGGUUGUUUCGAACGAGGGCACAUUUUCGACAGCAGGUUAGAGCAUAAUUGUUGUUCAAUGAUUAUGACAGUUUUCAUAAAAACAAAAUUCAAUCAGUUGAUUGGAGAAAAUGUGCUUCGGACAUUAACCUUUACUAAUUUUGGGCAAAGAUUUCUCCUAUGCAAUGGCCUAAGGUAAAAUCAAUGCACGUUUAAGCCAAAGUCGAAUUCGGACAAAAUGUCGAUGGCCGAUCUGUUAAUCACUUCUUUUUUUUUCAUUCAAAGAUAAAGAACUUUCAUAUUUUUCUAAUAAUAUAUCUCUCAUGACACGUUUAUUAGAAAACGAGUGACAUGUCGAGAUGUGAUGAACAAGGGACGAUGAAGGAUCAAGGAGGAAGAGAAAGGAUGGUAACGUGUGUAGGCCGGCGGGGCGAGCUGUCGCCAAUGUUUUUACGUUUUGCCGGUCCUUCCUCAACAUGAGUCGUGUUCUCCGUUCUCAUUUUCUCUCCCUCUCCAAAAUCGGGUUCUCAAUUACUAAACUCGAACCUCGGGCAAAUUCACUUUUCUCGCUUCGCUUCGCGUCCUUGAUUUUGCUCUCGCCCAAAACCCCCACACUUUUGUCUGCUUUUCAAGUUUCACUUAGAACAUCUCACGGCCAGUCAACCUGUCUUAGGAAUAUACCGUAAAUAGAUUCUCAAGUGUAAGAACAAUCAAUGAUCAAUUCCGUGCCUACACCUUCCUCAAUGUGAUAUAAAACCAAAAAUCAAAUUCUUCGUACUGGUUGAUUUCAGCAUAAUCGGCCAUGAAAGCUGUAUAGUAUUUAUUACAAUCGAGCUAUCCCCAACCACUUAUUUUUAGUUACGAAGACUAUCGGAUGGUAUCACUCAAAUAAAUUUGACACUCCAAAAGAAAUUGUGGCUACCAGUAAAACUUUCCUACUGUUCAUUAAUUAUCGUACAACAAAUCUGGUAUUUACGUUCUGAUUUUGUAUCAAGUUGAAAAUCUCUUAUUCUAAAAGGAUUUUAUUUGUCUGAAAAGUAAGUCGUAAAUCGAAAGACUGCUCGUAGUGAGUACAAUCGAUUAAAGAUAUUAGCAAUAAGUGACGGUCCUUACAUUAUACCGUAUCCGGGUAGCUUUCCAUUAACCCAGAAAAUAUUGAUAAGAAGGGGUACGAGGAAGUAUCCACUUAAUUAAAAAUAUUAGACCUCGCUUAAUUAAUGUGCGUUACGGGUUCAACAAACUUAUAAGUUUAAAAUCGACGUGUGGUAAAUUGAAAAACGCACUAGUGUGCACACAAGAUAGUAUGAAGUAUAAUAGAUAGGUAACCGAUUUUAAAGAACUAAUCGAUUAUCAUUAGUAUUUAGUGACAAUUGAAGAAACGCAUUUUGUAGCCCAAUCACAUAAAGUUACAGUUGUGCAGGGUAAAUGUUUGGUGAAAUGUCAAGUUUGACUAAACGGAAAGCUCCUUUGGUAAAUAUACAUAGUACUAAUUAUAUUGAAUCGUGUUUGUGGAAGCUAUAAGUCGAGUUAUAAGGAAAUCAAGUAGCACGUGAGAAUGGUUGGGAGACGAGACAAGAGAGCGGUGGUGCAAUGGUACUGGGACAAGUUGAGGUAGGUAGCGGCGAGCGCAGGGCGGUAUUUUGGGCCAACCUUGACUAGGGUCAUGGUCCCAGACGGAUAGGCCGUUGAACCUCUUCCUCUCCCCUCUACGUCGACCAAACUCUGCACAACGGACGGUUCCCCGCCAAACGAGGCCGACUUUUUUUAUUUAGGGUUAUUUUUAAAACGGUCGGCGGUUGCCGCUGCGGGAAAGCGGGACGAUGGCCCGGCGUCUUCUCACAAUCGGCCAUUGCAGUUAAAUCGAUGACUGUCCAUCUUACCCCAGCGGAUGACGCCUAAAACAGCUUUGGGAAGUACAAGCGCCACUGGAGACACCAAUCUUCCUAACACUGGAACACCUCCCCGACGCACGUGGUGGUCGUUGUUGCUGUAGUUGCUGUUGCUAGCCAACCCUGGCCCGUCUUUACAGAGCAGUAGAGCCCACAUGUUACAGAUUCCAUAUCGAGAUUUCCGUAGUUGGCCUUGAGACAACGUCUCCACAAAAAUAAAAGCCUUCUGAUCGACCAAGCAUAAAUGUAAGGAUGUUGUUUAUCUUUUCAUCGAGUAUGGGAAAAUACAUUUAUUAUAUGUAAUAAUUAGUCUCAAUAAAUUCCACAACAUUAGAAAU